UCCAAAAUUAUGCCCAGUAACUCUCCUUC
rnacentral:piRNA from 1 species